rnacentral:lncRNA from 1 species
CUAAGAUAAGAGUUUAUUCAUGCAUUUAUUGCUGUCAAAGAUGGGAACAACUGUUCUAGGUUGAAAUGCAAUCGUAUUUUAGGAGUGCAUGUUCCUGGCAUCAUCACCCAUGAGUGUCUAGGCAAGGUUGACAAACUUGAUAAAGGAGAAAAAUAACACUUCACCAGCUUUGAAGAUGACUCCAGGAAGAGCAGUAAAGUAUUUGGGAUGAGAGAUUUAGCUUCACCAGGCUCCUGGCAGGAGAAAUCAAACAGCAGAAAUGCAACAGUCUGCUCAUCAGAUGACUUUGUUCAUCCAAGCCCUUAGUGCCCAGUGGCCCAAGCAUCCAGAGGACUGAAAUCACCCAGACAACAGAUGUGGACAUAGGCAGGCAAGGUUGGCGGGCAUCAGGAUCCCUUAGAAGUCUCCAUGCUCUUUGGAAGGUGGGAUCCUUCCCUCCUCUUUUGCCACCAACAUAGUAAGGUGCCCUUUUUAUGUCCUUAAAGAAAUGGUCAUAGGGGACUUUGUAUUUAAAAAAAAAAAAAAAUCACAGAGAGACAGCCCAGAGCCUGUAUUCGUGGUCUGACAUUUCUCUCUUCUUUUUGUUUGCUCACUUUCUAUGUUUCUCAGGUAUUUGCAGUGGUCAAGACUUUGCAGAAGUUUACAUUCCCCGUAGUAUGCUUCAGCCUAUAGUUUAUCUGCAUUUAUACUGCAUGAACUCUGAGGCACUCCAGCUGGAUCCAUCAAAGUUGGGGCAGCUGACCUCCCACUGACAUGAGGAGCAGGCAGUGAUUUUGCUUUCAGAUGAAACCUACAGAGAACAAACAUCUGUGAAGAAUGGAGAAUGGUGGCUGCCCAGUGAAGUGCCUGAGAGCAAAGUGUUCAGCGUGCUCACUAAUAAGUGUCAGCUUGAUUUGAAUCACUUGCUAAAGUGCAGCCUGGCUGAAGCUGAAAGAACAUACCUUUCCUCAAUGAAAUGGAAUCCUAAGGCAUAAAUAAAAGAUUUCACCUGGGAAGAGUGAUUUAUUGU